AGGGAAUCUUCCGCAAUGGACGAAAGCCUGAUGCAGCAACGCCGCGUGAGUGAUGAAGGUCUUCGGAUUGUAAAGCUCUGUCCUUUGGGACGAUAAUGACGGUACCAAAGGAGGAAGCCACGGCUAACUACGUGCCAGCAGCCGCGGUAAUACGUAGGUGGCGAGCGUUGUCCGGAUUUACUGGGCGUAAAGGGUGCGUAGGCGGAUGUUUAAGUGAGAUGUGAAAUACCCGGGCUUAACUUGGGUGCUGCAUUUCAAACUGGAUAUCUAGAGUGCAGGAGAGGAGAAUGGAAUUCCUAGUGUAGCGGUGAAAUGCGUAGAGAUUAGGAAGAACUCCAGUGGCGAAGGCGAUUCUCUGGACUGUAACUGACGCUGAGGCACGAAAGCGUGGGUAGCAAAC
rnacentral:rRNA from 1 species